GAGGAUAGAUUAACCCCCCCAAAGGGGUAAAAGGAAAGGGGGGGGGGGGGGGACGCCCCAGGCUACCUGGUUGCCACCGCCCGGGGUAAUCCGUAGGUGGCAAGCGUUAUCCGGAAUUAUUGGGCGUAAAGCGCGCGCAGGUGGUUUCUUAAGUCUGAUGUGAAAGCCCACGGCUCAACCGGGGAGGGUCAUUGGAAACUGGGAGACUUGAGUGCAGAAGAGGAAAGUGGAAUUCCAUGUGUAGCGGUGAAAUGCGUAAAGAUAUGGAGGAACCCCGGUGGCGAAGGCGACUUUCUGGUCUGUAACUGACACUGAGGCUCGAAAGCGGGGGAAGCAAACAGGAUUAGAUCCCCUGGGAGUCCCCGCCGAAAACAAUGAGUGCUAAGUGUUAGAGGUUUUCCCCCCUUUAGUGCUGAAGUUAACGCAUUAAGCACUCCGCCUGGGGAGUACGGCCGCGAGGCUGAACCUCUGAUUAAUUGCCGGCCC
rnacentral:rRNA from 1 species